GAGCUGGGGUGGGUGGGAAUAUGGAGAAAGAACAUUUUGCUGCUUCCUAAAAAUGCUUCACCCCUCGCAUAGUUCCAGAAAACCUAAGUGGUGACUGAUCCUCUGUUAAUGAUGGCGAAGAACUGACCACAUAGGAAGAAGAGGUCGAAGAUGGCUGAGGGCAGGGGUCAGCAAACUCUGGGCCCCCAGGCCAGAUCUGGUAUGCCACUGUUUGUAAAUGAAGUGUUAUGGGAACGCAGCCACACCCAUUCAUUUUCAUCCCACAACAGCGGAGGUCCAAAAUGGCUGACUCAUCCACCACUCUUCAUGUGUCCUUGAAAUUAAACUAGACUGUCACGUGCAGGGGUCAGGGCUGUUUGUCUUCCUUGGCUUUCUGAGGCUUCAGAGCAUAUUGAUUCUGCGAAAUGUACAUUUCUCAGAAAAGAGCGUCUCCCAACAUGACAGGAGAUCACACAUUGCUUGUUUCCUGUCCCUUUCAUUCCCCUCUGAACACAAUAAAAUCAUGAUCCCAGCAUCACCGAGGGACCCCGGUGUCUCUUGGAAGUAGGGCUUCUUUUGCUUGCCUUCUUUUCUAAUCUCUUUCAAGCCAGUGAAGCAGAGUGGAAAACGUUCACUGGCUUGGGAAGCAGACAGGGCUGAGAACGAAUUGUGCUCCUGUUAUUUACUGGGUGUUCCACUUUGGGCCAGCUGCUUAACUUCCCCAACCUGAGGCUGUUCCACAGUAAAAUGGGGAAAUAGGAGCAUUACAGGGCGGUUGUGAGGAUUCAGAGAAGUGAUGCUUACAGAGCACCUGCUGCAGGGCUUGCUUCCUGGUAUAAUCCCCUCUCAGAGGUGGAACUGACAUUCAGCUGAUACCCACCAGUGUGGCUGUGCCCGUGUUUUACAGUUAGCCACUGGGGUUGGUCCCAGUGUGACUUGGUCAGUGCCUAGGCCAAGACAGAU